rnacentral:rRNA from 1 species
GACGAACGCUGGCGGCGUGCUUAACACAUGCAAGUCGAACGGAAAGGCCCUGCUUUUGUGGGGUGCUCGAGUGGCGAACGGGUGAGUAACACGUGAGUAACCUGCCCUUGACUUUGGGAUAACUUCAGGAAACUGGGGCUAAUACCGGAUAGGAGCUCCUGCUGCAUGGUGGGGGUUGGAAAGUUUCGGCGGUUGGGGAUGGACUCGCGGCUUAUCAGCUUGUUGGUGGGGUAGUGGCUUACCAAGGCUUUGACGGGUAGCCGGCCUGAGAGGGUGACCGGCGACAUUGGGACUGAGAUACGGCCCAGACUCGUACGGGAGGCAGCAGUGGGGAAUAUUGCACAAUGGGCGGAAGACUGAUGCAGCAACGCCGCGUGCGGGAUGACGGCCUUCGGGUUGUAAACCGCUUUCGCCUGUGACGAAGCGUGAGUGACGGUAAUGGGUAAAGAAGCACCGGCUAACUACGUG